rnacentral:lncRNA from 1 species
GCUAUCCUUUGUCGGUAGGAAGCCAUUCUCACGGUAGCUCGUUUCCUACUCUUCUCAACCAGGUCAAGCUUGGUACACGACCAUUCUGAGUUGGUGUCCUCGUUAUACUCCUUGAUCCUAAGGGAAGGAAGUCCAAUUUCAAUUGGUAUGACGGCUUCGAUUUUGAAUGCAAAGUUGAAUGGAGUUUCAUCGAUCUGAAUCCUCUGAGU